GGAUCUCUGACCCUGGAGAGAGUGGGUCACGGUUAGAGGGAGGGGUGAGGGGUGAGACGUGGAGCGAGGAGACGAACCAAACACUUCCACGUUAGUUCCAGUAACUUCGGUGGAAAUUGCGAUGGCAACAAGGUACCAGAACGAUUGAUGGUGUAGAAAGAGCGGGACAGCGUUGAAUAGGAUAAAAGGUCUAACGGAAGUGUGUCAUUUGUGCAGCUCCUCGUUAGUAUAGUGGUUUUACAUCUGGUUUCACAAAGAUCUUUAGUUGUCCACCAAUAUUUAUUUCUUUUUUCAUCCUUAGUAAUAAAAGUCUCUCAGUUGGACACAUGGUUGCCCAGAAAAAGAUUACAUUUCCCUUCCAGUUUUGCAUUUAUAACAUGCAGAGAUGUGCUUCCUAAUUCCUGCAAUUUACUUGGAAUCUGUGGAUGUGCUGAAGUUGAGGAUGUUGAGAUGAAGAGAUUAUCUUGGAUUAUCUCAUCUGAAGGAGGCUUAUAAGGAGAGAUGAAGGCAUUGGGACAUCUCUGGCUUUAGAGACGGAGGCCGGGGCCAUGAGCCAAG
ensembl:lncRNA